CAGAGGUCCCGAGCGUUGUUCGGAUUCACUGGGCGUAAAGGGUGCGUAGGUGGUGGGGUAAGUCGGAUGUGAAAUCUCCGGGCUCAACCCGGAAAAUGCAUUGGAAACUACCUUGCUAGAGGUUUUGAGGGGGGACUGGAAUUCUCGGUGUAGCAGUGAAAUGCGUAGAUAUCGAGAGGAACACCGGUGGCGAAGGCGAGUCCCUGGAAAACACCUGACACUGAGGCACGAAAGCUAGGGGAGCAAACAGGAUUAGAUACCCUGGUAGUCCUAGCCCUAAACGGUGCUUGCUUGCUGUAAGUGGAAUCGACCCCACUUGUGGCGGAGCUAACGCGUUAAGCAAGCCGCCUGGGAAGUACGGUCGCAAGAUUA
rnacentral:rRNA from 1 species